AUUGGGAGGACAGGAGUGACACAGGCAAAAUGUAGGGCAUACGUGACAGAGAAUCUUUUCUUUCUCUGCUCCCUGGAGAGGUGAAGUAGAAGAAGGACCCUACCUGUUCUGAUGCCCGAUGAAGCCACGGAAAGUUCUAGAAAAACAAGAAACCUGGAAGGGACUGACCCCAAGAAGGUGAAGUGUUCGUGGCACUGAAGUGACUGGUGUCGCUGGCCUGUGAAACAUCCACAACGAAGACCACACUACUUCAAGGUGGAAAGUGACACACAUACGCGCACGGAUGAAAACUCAAGAGUGGGUGCAACUUCCUCCAGAAACCGCUGCUUUCCGGAAAACCUGGACAAAGCCUGGGACUUUUUAUGUCAUUUUGGCUUUGAUUUAUGUACGCAUGGAUUUAUUGUUAACUCUCUAAAAAGGAUCCCAGAAGGAAAACAAAACAAUGAAGCCAGUGCUUCAAAGAUGGUCCCACUCAAACUUAAGCCAAGGACUAAAAUCCAACCUCACCAGCAAAUAUUUGCCCCUCAGGGAGCACUAUCCAAAGCAGGAUCUCUAAGAAGACACUUUCUGAGGCACCUCCUGCUUGCUGGGAAA